AACAGCAUCAAGAAGUGAGAGGGUUCUGGCAAUCACCUGGAAUCAGGGAGAUGGGAGAGUAGGGACCUUGGAAAUCCCAGGGGACUGCCUGUUGUGGGUAUUGAAAAGGACUGAUUUUCUCAGAGGUUUGACUGACCAUCCUCCCAAACCCUGCAGUGACCUGAGCCAGGGGAUUCAGCCAGUACAAGGCCUGGCCUUGUGCACUUUGAGCACCAUGGGCUCUGCUGAGAUGUGCCGAGACCUGGCCCCAGAAGUGGAGAAACUGCUCCUGCAGCCCAGUCCCUACGUGCGCAAGAAGGCUAUUCUGACUGCAGUGCACAUGAUCCGGAAGGUCCCUGAACUCUCCAGUGUCUUCCUCCCACCCUGUGCUCAACUGCUUCAUGAGCGUCACCAUGGUAAGGCUGUGGGGCUCCCCAUCCUUUGCUUCAGCUCUAUGGACAGAAGAAUUGAAAAUCGGAUGGGAACCCCAGCUCACAGGAGAAGGGUAGUGCACACACACAGGCACACACGCAAUAGACUCUCUUGCCCCUGGCCCCCACCAUUCACUUCCCCGACCCUGACCCCAGGCAUCCUGCUGGGCACCAUCACGCUGAUCACGGAGCUCUGCGAACGAAGCCCUGCAGCCCUCAGGCACU
rnacentral:sRNA from 1 species